CCUACGGGAGGCAGCAGUGGGGAAUCUUGCGCAAUGGGCGAAAGCCUGACGCAGCCAUGCCGCGUGAAUGAUGAAGGUCUUAGGAUUGUAAAAUUCUUUCACCGGGGACGAUAAUGACGGUACCCGGAGAAGAAGCCCCGGCUAACUUCGUGCCAGCAGCCGCGGUAAUACGAAGGGGGCUAGCGUUGCUCGGAAUUACUGGGCGUAAAGGGAGCGUAGGCGGAUAGUUUAGUCAGAGGUGAAAGCCCAGGGCUCAACCUUGGAAUUGCCUUUGAUACUGGCUAUCUUGAGUACGGAAGAGGUAUGUGGAACUCCGAGUGUAGAGGUGAAAUUCGUAGAUAUUCGGAAGAACACCAGUGGCGAAGGCGACAUACUGGUCCGUUACUGACGCUGAGGCUCGAAAGCGUGGGGAGCAAACAGGAUUAGAUACCCUGGUAGUCCACGCUGUAAACGAUGAGUGCUAGUUGUCGGCAUGCAUGCAUGUCGGUGACGCAGCUACG
rnacentral:rRNA from 1 species